GUCGUCAUUCUCUUAAAUUAGGAAAAUAAUUUCAAAUCAUACCAAUUGUUAGUUAUAAAGUACAAUAAAUUAUAUAUCUGGUAAGAGGAGGUAAAUACCCAUACGAAAAUGUUAUAUUUUGUCAAGACACAGAACCAAACCCAAACGGAAGUUUGUUUAAUGUGAAUGUUGAUUUGCAAUCGCAUAUGUAUACCACAUUACUUGUAUGCAGGUAAACUUAUAAAUCUAGUAGUCAGCGUAUUUAUUUUUUUUAAAUAUUUGUUUGAAUUAAAUAGAUAGGCUGGGGGUUAAUAUCAUUUAAAUCGCUUUGUUAUAUAAUUUUUGAACUAUGAGUUUCGUCUGUGCAUUUUAUUUAUAAGUAUCACUCAAGUUUCUCCAAACAUACAAAAAUACAUCAGAUAUUAUCUAUAUAUAACCGUGACUCUUAUCUGGAACUUUCGUCACAGGUUUAUCUAUAUUGUUUUUCUUUGCCAACUUCCUGUUUUGUUAGGGGAAUUUUCAAUCGAUGAUGGAAAUUUACAGAUAUUGUAUAGGGAAACCUUAUCAAAGAUCUGUCACAUUUUUUUUUUCUCAACUUACAUCUGAUGUUUUAGAAAUUAAUAACAUCUCUUGCAUCACUUGCAGUAAUAGCGUUUGCAUUGAGUACUUAUCAGAACAAUCUAAAGUCUCAAAUGACAAUAGCGAGCAGUG
rnacentral:lncRNA from 1 species